GGCCUCUUGUUAAAAGAGAUAAGAGGUCUGGCCUGCCCGGUGAGGGAAACCUUAAACGGUCGCAGCUUCCACUGUGCGAAGGUAGCGCGAUAGGUCGCUCUUUAAUUGGGAGAGAGUAUGAAUGGUCGGAUGUUGGAAAGCCUUUAUUAAAAGUAAUUAUUGAAAUUUACCUUUUAGUGCAAAGGCUAAAAUGAUUUUAUUAGACGAGAAGACCCUGUUGAGCUUAACUAAUCAAUACCUUUUAGGUUUUGAUGAAAAUUUUUUCGGGGCUGAAAGGAAGGGAUAUGUAAUGCCUUCUUAUAUAUUAUAAGGAUCCAGCAUGGUUGAAAGGAAGAAGAUAGCUACCACAGGGAUAACAGCGCAAUCUUUUUGACAAGGCCAUAUUUAAGAAAGGGUUUGCGACCUCGAUGUUGAAUCAAAGUUUCUACUAGGUGUAGCCGCUUAGUAAGUGGGACUGUUCGUCCUUUAAAGCUUUACG
rnacentral:rRNA from 1 species